AUUGGAUCGUCUCCAUGCCCAACUGGAUAGACCAGAGUUAAAAAAAGUUAUCAUCACUGCCUUUUUAUGAGUUUCCAAAGCCAUAAAGGACACAGACUGAAGAAACAAGGAAACUGAAGUAGUAUAGUUUUGUGUUUGGUUUUUGAGUAUGUAUAUCACAACAACAGGACCCAAAGAAACCAAGAAACUGAAGUGGAAUAUAUUUUCUCUUUUUUCUUUUCUUAAGGGCUGUUG
rnacentral:misc_RNA from 1 species